rnacentral:misc_RNA from 1 species
AGAGAGAGAGAAAGAGAGAGAAUGAACUAGUAGGACAAAAUCCUUGGCAAGAAGACAUCACUAACAUGAACUUAUGCAUCUUGCUUCAGCCUCAUAGUAUAUAUAUCAGCAGUAGAGAGUUCAAUCUGCAGAAUCUUCAAUAUGUGUAUUAUGCACUACUUCUGAAUUUAUCAAAUGCAGUGUCUAAAAAUUAUAUGCAGUAAAGCUUUUCAUUCAGGACUGAAUGCAACAUAAUUGUUGAGCUUGGUUCUAAUUUCCAAGAUGAUUUGAAGGGAGAAAGAUGAUGUAACUCCUUCAAAAAUACUGAUGUUUGCCACAUCAAUAAUUUCAUAGAUAAUAACGUAUGCCAUUGGGCAACCAGACUAGUAGUCCAAUAACUGCCUCAUAGUGCAGGCAACAAGCAAUCAAACACUGUUUCCCCCUCUCACUCCCUUGAAAAGGCAAAAGAUCAGGGCCAAACUUCUAAAAUGACUUCUAAGCAUACAUACAUCACUUCAUUUCACAUUCAAUAUUUAUUGCCUAUUGAACCAUUGGACUUUAUAUUCAUUGUUGUCAGCUCCACAAAUUUCUUCAAUACAAUAUCAGAAAAGGAAAAGAAAAAGCAAUCAGAUUUUGCUUAACGAUUGAGUUAAUUAAUAAUUAAUAAAGCUACUUAUUAGGAAAAAAGAUAUAGAUUAAUAAAAAUAACAAAAAUGAAGAUCAUAUACUUAACGAGAUAAGUUUUAGCACUUCACUUCCGUUAUAUCAGCAAAUACCUGAACUCAGUCAACUGUUCAGCUUCAAACUGGUUAGGAGUCAACAUUGAAGCCGCUGGAACAACCUAAAAAUAUAAAUUCCGUCUUGUGUCAGGACAUCAAGUUAAAAUUAAAGUAUUUUACCUUUGAAUCAAGUAGUUUUGUAAUGAAUCAAAUUUACAUGUAGAUCAAAUGAAAUGACUUGCAUCCAAACAACAAGUCCAAUCCAAAUACCAAACCUGGUUUUUGAUGUUGAUCACUGAUGAAGUUAUGCCUUGAGAGUCAAAUUACGUUGUAAAAGGAGUUUAAAAUUUUUUACAUCAAUUUCAAAGCAAAUGAUAAACAUUGAUAUCCAAAUUUAACAAUUGGAUUAUGUGUUUGAAUUUCAGUCAGAGCCCAAUCAACCAAAAAUAGAAAUCUAACAAUUGGACCAGCUCACCUUCUCGCGAUAUACAGCUACUAGCUCCGGUGGAACAUAAAGUUUCCCCUCAUCGCCCAUUACUGGAUCACAAACUAGACAAGUGUAGCAAAAUUUUCAUGGAUAGAAAAGAUAAAGAGGCACUUCUUAGUGAAGCAACAACAGUCUGUUUCUACAUGUACAACAAAGAUAAUAGUUAUAAAACAACAAAUGUCAUUCUUAUGGCCUUAAUUUCACUGCAAUUAAGAGCUUUAACUCCUCAAAGUUGACUUUAGAACUGAUUUCUGGGAAACAAUGAGUUCAUUAAUUUUAAUGGACAUCAAGAAAUUUGAACAAGUAAAAAGCAAACUGAGGACACCUUACUCCUCUUACAAUGUUUGACAGGACAAACUUAAUAAUCGUCAUCUCUGAAACCAUGAUUCCUUGAUCAAUCCUUAAAAACAACAAUUAUGCUCUACUGAUUGAGCUAUUCAAGUCUUCAAGACAGCAUCCAAUGUCAAGUCUAACAAUCAACAGCAUCAGCAAAAACACGAACCUUGCAUACAAUUUAAAUUGUUCCAAGAACAAAACUAGUUCUGUUUUGAUCAGUUCUCCAUUUUCUGUAUCAUAAUUAUUUCUCUUACACUAAUACUUUGACAUUUGUUUAUAAACUCAAAUCUUUGCAACAUACAAGGGAGAGCAGGAAACUAUCAAAAAAUAAAAUAAGCAAGCUGUCCAUCAAUUGAUUAAAAAAAAAGAUUUAUAUAAGUUGCGAAUACAUUCAGGUAGCAAAAAAAUCUAAAUUUUCAUUUUACCCCUCCUGGGAUAGAAGCAAAAGUAAAAUUGCAAAGACUUUUCCAACAUCAAUGAUUUACUUACCAUAUGUAAGUUUUGGAUUUAUGGAGCGAAGCUUAUUGACAACUUCCAAUACAGCAUUCAAAAAUGAAACUGAACCAAUAUAACCUGUUAACAAAUGAGUAUAAUACAGCAAAUCAUUUGCUUCAAGUCCUUCUAUUAAAUCCCAUAGUUGUUGUCCAUUCAAAACUUGGCCUUUAAAGGACGGGUACCCAUAUAUCAGGCUUCAGAGUUCUGAGACUGUUUGAGUGAAGUAUAAGCUGCUUGCCUGUAUGGUUUGAGAAUUGUACUGAAUUGAUUGGAUCAACAUCAAAGCCCAGUAUUUGAAGGGGAAAGACAGCUGAUUUAUUUCCAACAUAUCCCUGAACUGUGUGAGACUGAAUGCUGAGAAUCCGACCAGUUUCCGAAGGAAGAACCAGCGACAAGAUUGGAGGUGCCAUUUCCGAUUUCAACAAGCUGGAAAUGUGAAUCCGAAACUCAAUUUUUCCCAGCCAAGACUGAGAACGGCUAAUAGACAAAGACCUUAGCAUUAAAUAAGAGUAACAGAAGAUUGAGUAAGCGACUGCUCGAGUGGUUAUAUAUCGUACGAAAUUACAAAAUAGGGAAGCGAAGAAUGGUGGAUUUAAGCGAUUACAAGUGGUAAAUUUAUGGAGAAAGGGAGGAUAAUUUGGAGAAUUCAAUGCAUGAGUUGAGCCGCAAUCUGAGAAAACUGAAAAUGGGAGCG